rfam:Megaselia scalaris, Durham, NC isolate 2 -- Noor lab, WGS project CAQQ02000000 data, contig: ctg0000390577
GAUUUGGCUUUACUAGAAGCCAUCAAUAUAUGUAGAAGAAUGGAG